UUCAGGUCCUUCUUCUCCUCCCUCAAACGACACAUCUCUCUAUCGCUCUCCUGUUCCCCUAUCGCUCGCCGAACCUGGCGGCUGCCCAGAUCCGGUGAUUCCCUGGUGGACGACGACUACUCCCACGACUGCUCCCUGCCUCCCCCCUCCCAAUCCGGCAUUCAGGCAAUCUGGUAGUGCUCGAGCGCGUGGUGAUGCCACCACGGUAUCCUCCUCCCCGGUGCUCCUAGGUCCAGCAUUAGCUCACCGGAGCCAAGCCGGUGACGCUCGAUCUGCUCGCCUCCUUCGCCUCGCAUGCUCAGCAAGCGACAUCAAGGGGAGGUAUGGAUUUGGAUGUAGCUCACUGGCCAGGAGAACUUGCGGCGCCAACACACCAAUAUAGAUCCAUGAUCCAAAGCACUGUCCAGGACAAGUCGCUGGCUGCGCUGCUUGUAGAUGAAAUUAAACUGCUCCUCGGACUUGACCUGGAGCAUGCAAUAAAGCAUGUAUGUCGCGAACAAAAUGUUGUCAGCCAUGCUCACGAAAGGACCUGAUGAGAUAAAGCAGUUGUGCUCCUUAGACUGUAGUGCAGCCAGUUAAUUAAUGUUUUGGCUUACACUUUUCAGCUAUAUAUUGUCAUGCCAACUCACUGAUACAUGAUUAUGGUUGAAGAACAAUGCUGAGCAGUGCAAGCAUAUGAAGAUUGAUGAACAAGAAGCAAUAUCAAUGGAAGCAAAGGAAUAACUUUUCUUUCAUGUGCUAUCAAGAUAGCAAACCUGAUGCAAGCUUUGGUAGCGAUGCUUAUUCAGUGGGGAUCACUUCAGUCCUUCACACUUGGGGUUCGCUGUUCAUGUCGUGGAAAAGGAUGUCAUGUUAUGUACCAAGUAAUAUAUGUAUGUGUCUUGUGCACUCAAAUUAGGAUGGAUGACAUGCACUAAAAGGUUCUUGCCUAGGAUGAUCCACUUAGACAUGUAUUCAAAAGAUCAUACUGGACAUAUAUUCCCAUAUUUGUCUGGGUCCAUCUUUGGAUUUAUUAGGAACAGAAUGGUUGUGAUGAUUUGAAGUAGAAAAUGAUCAUGUCAUUAUAUGUACCAAGAUAUACAUGUAUGUGUAUUGGGUACUCAAGUUAGGAUGGAUAACACGCACCGAAAUUUGUCUGCCUAUGAUGAGAUCCACUUGGAAAUGUAUUAAAAAAAUUGUGCUUGACAUA